ACAUCCAGAGAACUUAGCAGAGAUGCUUUGGUGCCUUCGGGAACUCUGAGACAGGUGCUGCAUGGCUGUCGUCAGCUCGUGUUGUGAAGUGUUGGGUUAAGUCCCGNAACGAGCGCAACCCUUAUCCUUUGUUGCCAGCGGUUCGGCCGGGAACUCAAAGGAGACUGCCGGUGAUAAACCGGAGGAAGGUGGGGAUGACGUCAAGUCAUCAUGGCCCUUACGGCCAGGGCUACACACGUGCUACAAUGGCGCAUACAAAGAGAAGCGACCUCGCGAGAGCAAGCGGACCUCAUAAAGUGCGUCGUAGUCCGGAUUGGAGUCUGCAACUCGACUCCAUGAAGUCGGAAUCGCUAGUAAUCGUAGAUCAGAAUGCUACGGUGAAUACGUUCCCGGGCCUUGUACACACCGCCCGUCACACCAUGGGAGUGGGUUGCAAAAGAAGUAGGUAGCUUAACCUUCGGGAGGGCGCUUACCACUUUGUGAUUCAUGACUGGGGUGAAGUCGUAACAAGGUAGGCGUAGCGAG
rnacentral:rRNA from 1 species